rnacentral:sRNA from 12 species
UUAAAAUACAAAUAGGGUCACCUAUAUUGUAUACCUACAUACCCGAACAAAGAGUUUAAGCGUACUGUAAGUACGUCGGACGUAGGGCCACCAGUAGGUGGCUUUUUUAUUU